rnacentral:rRNA from 1 species
CAGUAGCCGCGGUAAUACGUAGGUGGCAAGCGUUGUCCGGAAUUAUUGGGCGUAAAGCGCGCGCAGGCGGAUCAGUCAGUCUGUCUUAAAAGUUCGGGGCUUAACCCCGUGAGGGGAUGGAAACUGCUGAUCUAGAGUAUCGGAGAGGAAAGUGGAAUUCCUAGUGUAGCGGUGAAAUGCGUAGAUAUUAGGAAGAACACCAGUGGCGAAGGCGACUUUCUGGACGAAAACUGACGCUGAGGCGCGAAAGCCAGGGGAGCGAACGGGAUUAGAUACCCGCGUAGUCCCUGUCUCUUAUACA